UAUGAAAUAAAUGUCAUGGUCUGGGUGAGUGCGGGGUUUUUCCACUCCACUGGGCUCCACCUUCAGGCAGAGACUCCAAUCAGCCUCCACACCUGGUUCCAAUCAAGUCAUCAGCAUAUAAGACCAGCAUUCACAUCAGACCUCUGCCAGAUCUUCUGCUAACCGACGACCCACCUGGCAGUCACACUUCCCAAGCUAAGCUACUCACAUCUCUGCCUGGACGCUGGUUCUGUCAUCUGGUUGCUUCCUUUCCAUCAUUGGACUACACCUGCCUGCCUCCCUGCCAAGUCCCUCGCUCCAAGUAUAUUCUGGACCCUCUCUGGACACUCCUCACCCGGAACCCCUUGGACACCCGCUCCUCGCAUGACACCUUAACCUGCAACACUGACUGCGUACCUCCAUCCAAGCGGCUGCCCCUUUUUCCAUUCCCAGGAUCCAUCCAUGAAAUCUAGCACCUAGUCAUAGCACUCAGUUUCAUGUUCAUAGUUCGCAGUUUUUAGCAUUCUCCGGUCAUAGCAUUCCUAGUUCCCUGCUUUGUAAAUUAACUAGGCACUGUAAAUAAAGCACUGUGUUCACGCCCGUUUUGCCUCCCUUUGUGUCUGCAUUUAAGUCCACACCCACAGCCAGGCCCUCUCGGCCGUGACAAUAAAAAUGCCUUUAUCUUCUUUUUGAAGAUCACCACAGAAUCCAAAUGC